rnacentral:pre_miRNA from 14 species
AACUGUAAAGAGCUGUUAGUUUGGAUGGCUGUGCUCUGAGGAAAUACGGCUCAUAAAAUGUCAUUUCAUCAGGCCAUAGCUGUCCAAAUUAUCAAUGUUCG